rnacentral:rRNA from 1 species
AGUGGGGAAUAUUGGACAAUGGGGGCAACCCUGAUCCAGCGAUGCCGCGUGUGCGAAGAAGGCCUGCGGGUUGUAAAGCACUUUGAGUGGGGAAGAAAGGCUAAAGUCGAAUAGGCUUUAGAGUUGACGUUACCCACAGAACAAGCACCGGCUAACUCUGUGCCAGCAGCCGCGGUAAUACAGAGGGUGCAAGCGUUAAUCGGAAUUACUGGGCGUAAAGGGCGCGUAGGCGGAUUGAUAAGUUAGGUGUGAAAUCCCUGGGCUUAACCUGGGAACGGCAUUUAAUACUGUCAGUCUAGAGUAGAGUAGAGGGAAGUGGAAUUUCCGGUGUAGCGGUGAAAUGCGUAGAGAUCGGAAAGAACACCAGUGGCGAAGGCGGCUUCCUGGACUCAUACUGACGCUGAGGCGCGAAAGCGUGGGGAGCAAA